rnacentral:rRNA from 1 species
UACGAGAGGCCCAAACGUUAUUCGGAAUUACUGGGCUUAAAGAGUUCGUAGGCGGCAUGAAAAGCAGGGUGUGAAAGCCCUCGGCUCAACCGAGGAAUUGCGCUCUGAACUGUCGUGCUUGAGGAAUCUAGAGGUGAGCGGAACUGAUGGUGGAGCGGUGAAAUGCGUUGAUAUCAUCAGGAACACCGGAGGCGAAGGCGGCUCACUGGGGAUUUUCUGACGCUGAGGAACGAAAGCCAGGGGAG